rnacentral:rRNA from 1 species
UACGUAGGGGGCAAGCGUUGUCCGGAUUUAUUGGGCGUAAAGAGCGUGUAGGCGGCCAGACAGGUCUGCUGUGAAAACUCGAGGCUCAACCUCGAGACGCCGGUGGAAACCGUUUGGCUAGAGUCCGGAAGAGGAGAGUGGAAUUCCUGGUGUAGCGGUGAAAUGCGCAGAUAUCAGGAGGAACACCAAUGGCGAAGGCAGCUCGCUGGAACGGUACUGACGCUGAGGCGCGAAAGCGUGGGGAGCGAACAGG